UACGUAGGGGGCUAGCGUUGCUCGGAAUUACUGGGCGUAAAGGGCGCGUAGGCGGCUAGUUUAGUCAGAGGUGAAAGCCCAGGGCUCAACCUUGGAAUUGCCUUUGAUACUGGCUAUCUUGAGUUCGGGAGAGGUGAGUGGAAUGCCGAGUGUAGAGGUGAAAUUCGUAGAUAUUCGGCGGAACACCAGUGGCGAAGGCGACUCACUGGCCCGAUACUGACGCUGAGGCGCGAAAGCGUGGGGAGCAAACAGG
rnacentral:rRNA from 1 species